rnacentral:lncRNA from 10 species
CAUGUAGGUGUUAUUCAAAAUAUAUUAUUUAUCAAUGAUUUCUCUUAGAAUGCAUAGCAUAGAUUAUAAGAGUAGUGAAAAAUAUUUUCCUUUAGUUGCUCUGGGAUGCCAGAAAUCAUUGGCUACCCUCCUCCCCUUUACAGUCACAAGUCCAGAUGUUUGGAGGGGGAGGGAGAAGCUGGACUCUAUGAAAGACAAUUUAGCAAUUUUGCAGUGUUGGUGUUUCUGACCUUCCAUCUACUUCCCCAUCUGUCUGCCAAGGUCCGAGUGUCCCUCUGGGUAUGCACGAGGCCAGACUGUUUGGACCUGGUCAUUCUUCAAGCCUAAGACAGGCUGCCCAGGGAUAGAAAGGUUAUAAAUUCCAGGCUGUUGACUCCAAGGCACCAAAUAUUGUCACAGGAGGAAACUUUUUUGCAGCUGCUGUAGAAAAUGUAAAUGUGGCUGGGCACGGUGGCUCACGCCUGUAACCCCAGCACUUUGGGAGGCUGAGGCAGGCAGAUCACCUGAGGUCAGGAGUUCAAGACCAGCCUGGCCAACAUGGUGAAACCCCAUCCCUACUAAAAAUACAAAAAUUAGCUGGGCUUGGUGACACGUGCCUGUAAUUCCAGCUACUCAGGAGGCUGAGGCAGGAGAAUUGCUUGAACCUAGGAGGCAGAGGUUGCAGUGAGCUGAGAUUGUGCCACUGCACUCUAGCCUGGUGACAGAGCAAGACUCCGUCUCAAAAAAAAAAAAGAAAAGAAAAGAGAAUGCAAAUGUGCUGACGGUGGUGCAGGCCAGGAAUUGCUCCAGCUUUGUCUUGUUCAUUAUUCCUUUGAAAAGAAGCCUCCCUCUGCUCCUCUGUACAUUUCUGCGGAACUGGCACUUGAAAGGUAAGGCGCCGGAGCUCUCCCUGCCCCAGUCAUAAUGGGAAAAGUUUUCACCCCAGGCCAGCCCAAACACUCAAUUGUGUUCUUUCUCUACCAGAUACAUAAUCCGUGUUUAAAUCUCUUGGCAGUCACUCAUUAGUUUUUUUCCCCUACAUUCUUUUCUUCUUUGAUGAGAACAAAGCCCGGCUCCUCCCAGCUCCCAAUCUUGCUUUUCUCUCCCAGGAAAUCUCCCUGUCGCACUUUGAUCCCAUAGGAAGAAAGUCACCCAAAUGCUAUCCUUCUCUACCUGCUAAAAGAGGAAGAUCGCAAUUCUUUGUACUACCAAAUCUGUGUGCAGAACUCACAAAUCUGUGGUGCCAGAGGUCCUGAUUUUUCUGGAGGCAUUCUGGCGGCAUACCAUGGCCUGACUACCUAAGGACCCCUCUCUUGGGCACCUCCCCCUCCCUGAUUUUUAAUGGAUUGUUCUUGAGAAAGGAAGGAUUGGACAUACGGUGACUCCAAUGGAAUUUUAUUCUUAUUAAAGCCCUUUGAAGUUCCCUCUUUCUAACACCACCCUUUCUUACCCUCACCCCUUAGAUGUGGCAUGUUCCAUCAUCAGAGUUGUUGAAGUUAAAGUUAUAGGAAAACCAACCUGAAUUUCUCUAAUACAACUCUUUGAUGUAGAGUAAAACAAAAAUCUAUUUCCAUCCGAUAUUCUAGGCUUCUAAGAAAUGAACUAUGAAAGUAAGCUGUUUAGCACUAUAGGACUGUAAAGAAUUUUAAAUUUAUUUUAUUCCAUCUGCUUUGGACUCCAAACCAUUCUGGAUUUUGAUUGAGAGGCAGAAAACCAAGCAUUUAUUGGGCACCUACUGUGUGUCAGACUUGGUAUACAGACAGCAUGUGAGAGGCUAUCACGUGCCUAUAAAGAGCAGGUCACACAGCUUGCAGAUGGCUGAGCUGGGACCUGAGCCGGCCUCAUCUGACUGUUCUGACCCCAUAGCCUGAGUUCUUCUCAAGGUAAUUUGCCACCUUGUGGUCACUGUCUUCUGCAGAAACAUUCUUCGAUGAGCUUUGGAAAGGAAGAAUGACAUAUCACUUGUUAAAAAGGAAUUUAGGGUUUGUAGCAUAGUGAGAGUAAGAGAGAUGGGAGGUGAGAGUUCCUGCCAUUGGAAACUGGCAAUGGUGAGGAAACAAUGACAAUUAGAGGGAGAGCCAUGGAAAUUGAUGGGGGAGGCGUGGGGAGGAAGCAGAGAGGAUUCUGUGUGGAUGGAUGAAUGGAUGGAUGGAUGGAUGGAUGGAUGGAUGGAGGCACCGUUAGGAGAAUGGGGAAGGGGUGACUAAGGAUUAUGAAUGUGUGUGUGUGUGUGUGUGUGUGUGUGU